rnacentral:rRNA from 1 species
CCCUUAGAUGUUCUGGGCUGCACGCGCGCUACACUGACACACUCAGCGAGUUCCUGUACCGAGAGGUUCGGGUAAUCAUGUGAGCGUGUGUCGUGAUGGGGAUGGAAUAUUGUAAUUAUUGCUCUUCAACGAGGAAUUCCUAGUAAGCGCAAGUCAGCAGCUUGCGCUGAUUACGUCCCUGCCCUUUGUACACACCGCCCGUCGCUCCUACCGAUUGGGUGAUCCGGUGAAUGACUCGGACUUUGACGUUCCUAGACACUAGGUUCGUCGAGGGAAGUUUUGUGAACCUUAUCACUUGGAGGAAGGAGAAGUCGUAACA